rnacentral:rRNA from 1 species
UACGGGGGGGGCAAGCGUUGUUCGGAAUUACGGGGCGUAAAGGGUCUGUAGGUGGCCAACUAAGUCAGACGUGAAAUCCCUCAGCUUAACUGGGGAACUGCGUCUGAUACUGGUUGGCUUGAGUGCAGGAGAGGAAUGCGGAAUUCCAGGUGUAGCGGUGAAAUGCGUAGAUAUCUGGAGGAACACCGGUGGCGAAGGCGGCAUUCUGGACUGCAACUGACACUGAAAGACGAAAGCCAGGGGAGCAAACGGG